rnacentral:lncRNA from 1 species
GGCCAAAGGAAGAACAAAGGAAGAAAAGAAAGAACAAGAACCCUAGGGUGAAAAUUCAAAAGAAAAUUGGUGGAUUUCAAGUAAUCAAGUAAUCAAAGGUAAAAUUUCUUGAUUUUGACUUGUGAUCUACCUUUCCCAUGCAUUCUUUUGCAUUUUUCAUGGUUGAAUCACAUGAUUUCAUGAUGGGUAUCUUGCUGGCUGAACACUUAGAGAGAGGUUUUGAUGCUUGAUUUUGUUAGAUUUUAAGAUAUUUUAGUGUUUUUAGUUAGUUAAUGAUGUGUAGCAUGAAAAGCCAACAAGAAAAAUUCAUUUUCUCCCAUCACCCAUCAUUGGCCGAAUUCUCCAUGUAGAAUAUUGAUGAUGAUUUUGAUUUUAUUUCAAGUAAUUUGGUUAGGAAUUAGUGAUUUGUGGUGUGAGAAUUAAGUAAGAAAAAUUAUAGUGUUGACGCACCCACCAUGGCCGAAUUUUCCAAGAGAAAAUGUGAGGAUGAUUUUGCCAUAUUUCAAGUUAUUUAAUUUGUGUUUGAUGAUUUGGAGUAUUGGGAGAAAAAUGAAAUUAUUUGGAGUUGAAUUGGACGUAUUGGCCAAUUAAUCGAGUGAUAGAUCGAAUUAGGCCAAUACCGUUUAAUUUCGGUACAUAAUUGAAUUUGUGUAGAACACUGUGUUUAGACAAUAAUCCGAACAAUUUGCAUCCCAUUUCAUACAUUAGUAUAAAGCCUGAAUUGGUUUUAUAACAAUUUAGCACAAUGUAGUAAAUGGCUUAUUGUGCAUUAUGUCUAGGUGGUGAGCAUUCUAGCAAAAAUAAAGAGAUAGUACUUGAGGAUCAAGAAUCGAAGUACUUGAAAUUCGACUCCCGAAGUAGUGAGUAACCUUAUCAUCAUCUUAAUUAUUUAAAAUAUGUUUUAUUUGAUUUUGUGAAUUUUAUGAAAAAUGAAUUAAAUGAUUAAUUUUUCGAUUUUAUAAACAAAAUGUGAUUUAAUGAAAUGAUUUUAAUAAAUUAUUUUAAAAUUGAAUGAUGGUUUGAAAAUAGAGUAAUUGGAGACUGCUUUUGUGUGUUGUAAAUUCAUGAUUCUAAUUGAUUGGCUUAUGGCAAUAUUGGCAUGAAUGGUUGAUUUGAUAAAUGUGUUGGAAAUGUAUAAAUUGUUGAUUUGCCUUGGAAGGCUGUAAAAUAAAAUAAAAUAAUUGCCAUGUCAUGCUAUUGCAAAUUUUAUUGUAUGGUGGGUUUAACUUGCUGCAGUGGGCGGGUUUUCUGUGGACUAACCUAUUAGAGGGGCACGAAAUCCCGCUAUAUUUUACCUCGAUGGGAGAGGCGAAUAGGGUAACUCCCGAGGUAUAACUUUAGAGUUCACUUCAUGCCAAACCACCACGUGAGGGUGAACUCAGCCAAUGCCAAGAAGCGACUAUGUUUUCAAAAUAAAAACAUGAUUUAUGCGUACAUAACUUUUUAACAGCCUUGGCGAACUCGGUUGGGAUAGCCCUCGAUCAAGGUAUCCCUGAUAACUAGGUAUGGGAAUGAUUUUGGCACGAGCCAAAGCUUUUAAGAAAUUCAUAAGCCAUGUUGAUUACUCGAUUUAUAUGAAUUGAUUUUAUUUGGUUGAAGCAAGUUGAAAGGUGAUGAGUUACAGUAUGUUAAACUAUUUUAUCUGUCUCCAUUUACUUGGCUUUAGAUAUUUUAGAUGGUAUUUGUUUACUCAUUAGGAUUAUAUAAUCUUACCACCCUCUUUUCCACCCAUUUCAAGCUCAGAAUAGGCUGUAGAUAGCUGAUUUCAUCGAGGCUACCAUUGGAUUUACAUCCUCCAAAUUGUAGGUUCACAAUCUUCCUUACUUUUAGUUAUUCGGGGGCCCACUGGUUAUUGUAAAUUAAAUUAACUACCCUGGCUUACUGUAUUAUAGUAUGUAUGAAUUUAUUUUGCUUUUAUGCUGCUACAAAAAUUAUUUAUGUAUAACUUUAAAAAUAUUAUUUUAUAAGAAAAUAAAAUAUUUUAUUGAAUAUUUCUUUUAUUUUUUUAUUAUAUCCAAAUAAUCAUAAUUUCAUUUUAAAUGAAGGUUUUAGAUGUUUAAACUUAUUUUUGAUUAUGAAUUAUGUGUUUUGUACUUGCAUACUACAUUUUUAGCGGAUUUCGAGAUUUUUGAGGAAAAAUGACCAAAAUGCCCCUAUGAGAAAAAAAAUUGUUUUUCUAUUGUUUUGAUUUGGAAAUAGUUUAUAAUCUCUCAAAACAUAAUUUUAGUGACUAAUACUCACAGCGGAAGCUAGAAAAAUUGAUGUUAAGCCUUGCGAGGUUUCGAUUGACAUUUCGGGUAAUGAAUGUCUAUCGGGACGUCGUGACUGUUGUCACGGGCUCGAUGGGAGUUCCGGGUCGUGACAAAAAGGGUCCAUGCUCAACAAAAGAUUUGGAGAGGGAAAACUUUAAUAGCAUUCAUGCAAAUCAAGUCAAGUAAAAGACGGGUCCUCAUUGCAGCGGAAAGGCAUUCUCGCUCAUAUUAUUGACGGGACGCGGGUUUUCUCAACUGGCCAAGGGUUUCUCUCUAAACCCCUCAUUUCCGACUUAGUUAAUUAAUUCCUUGAUGUUGGAAGUCAAUGAUCCAUUAUGGUGUUAAAGGGGUAGAAAAUAUGGCAAAGAUCAAUAAGGUAGUCAAGUGGGACAGAAAGUUUCUCGCUACAGCAAAAUUCGGUUGGCCAAACAGAGAGUUUCUCGCUGCAGCGAGAAGCUAUAGUAACUUUCUCGAUACGGCAAGAAUGCUUUCUCGCUACGACGAGAAUGCAUUCUCGUUGCAGCGAGAACCAGGUCUAGUAGAAACCCUCACAACCUGAGAGUUUCUCACUGCAGCGAGAAAUAGAGCACCAAGAACAAGUUUUCAUUCCCUUCAAGAAAAGACCAUCCUACUGAAAUGACAAAAGCAACAUGAAACACAUAUAAAUUCCCAAAAUUCAACAUGUCAAAUUUUUACAUGCAUUACAACCAUACACCAUAUAUGUAUAUAUAUAUAUAUAUAUCAAUCAUCAUGCACACCCUCCCAUUAUCAUCAGCUCACAUGCACUCCCACUAGCAUAUGGCUGGGUCAGUAUCGGCUUAUGCGCACUCCUACUCGCACAUAGUUAGGUCAGCAUCGGCUUAUGUGCAAUUUCACUUGCACAUAGCUUGAUCAGCAUCGGCUUAUGCACACUCUUACUCGCACAUAGCCGGGUCAAUAUCAUUAAACAACAUUAUUCAUAUAUAUAUAUCAUCACAGUAUAGGAGCACAUAGGUUCGUCCUUUUACACAUUUCACAUUUUAGUAACAUCAAGACAUUUUAUCAAGGGCUUGUUCCUCGGCACACAUUUUGAAAGAAAAGUUGGUUAAAAUCAUUCAAAUGUUUUAUACAAAUACAUUCACAUUCCCAAAACAAAUUUUGAAAUGCAAGUUCACUCACCGAUAUUUCGUUGAACCUUUAGUCGAUUCUAACUUUCCUAAUGGUCCAAAUGGGACGGUGAGGCUUUGUUGGAACCUAUCAUCACAUUAACACCACAAUUAACUCAAUUCUCAUAAUUACAAGUUCUACAAGCUAUCACCUACUAGUUUCCAAGUGCCAUUAAAUGGCUAUCAAUUUUCAUUAUCCUAAUCACUCCAAAGUGAAUUAACAACCUCAACUACAAAAUAUUCACAAGUCAAAUCUCUAGCCAUUCUCAACACUAAACAUUCAACUCUAAUUUACUACUCACCUUAAUAGCUUUGUAACUUUUAAAUUAUUUCCACUAAUUCUCUAAACUAUUGUAAAGCUCUCACUUUCUCUCUCUAAAUAGCUAGUUAGUGAGAGAAAGUAUGGAAGUAAUAUUUUUAAAGUGUUUUAAAGUGAGAGAGUGAAAGAGUGCAAGAGUUUUAUGCAAAAGUGCACCAAAGCUUGAAAAUUGAAGCUAUUUUGAGAAAGGUUAUGGAGGUUUCAUAUCAAGCUUCCAUGGAGGAUGAAAGCAACGUGAAAGAGAAGAAGGAAGUAGAAGAAUAAGCUAUUGGAAAAUGGGAGAAGAAGCUGCUGGAAGAAAGAGAUAUUUAUAGCCCAAGCUUAUCCACUCCACUUAAAUUACCAAAAUGCCCUCACAAGUUAACUUGUUCUCCUCCAAUCCUUUAUGCAAUCUUUUUACUCUUUUGACACUGGGGCAAGGUCCAUAAUGGUCUAGAAAUGCUCGAGUUCAUGAAAACUUAAAAAUUUGACCUCGAGGUGAAAAAUGACCAUUUUGCCCCUACCGUGGAAAUCAUCAUCAUUUUUAUUUCCUUUGUCAUUCUACCCAUAUUUUCAUCAUUCAUUUAUGCCUUAGGCCUACUUAGGUCUUAGUAUUGUUUAAACUUACUUUUAAGGGCUUACUAAGGAAAUGACGAAAUUACCCCUGAUAAGGGAUAUCGAGUCUACAUUUACCUACGAAUCUGUAAAGGUCAAAGUCUCACACUUUACCUUAAAUCCUAUUAAUUGAUAGGGUACUUGAACCUUAUAAAAAGUGGUGGAGGGAAUGGGGAGCUAGUAAGUACCUUCCGCUCCUCAAAAGUUUUAAAAUUUCAUAAUAUACUCUUGCCUUUUUAUUUUAUAAUUUUAUAGUUUUGUCCCUACAACAAUGCUUUUGCUUCAUGAGAUGCCCUCACAGCAAUUAGUCAAUAAUUGAUUUUAGUCGACUUAGGGACUAAAGGUAGUCAAUCUUAGCAUGUAAUAAUUGUUAAAAAAAUGUUUUUAUUUUGUAUUUAACACGAAGUUGGAAUUUUUUGUGUAAUUUUUACAUGAAUUUUUCCCAUCUAAGUUACUUUACGUUUUUGUCAAACAUUGAACUUCUAGCAUAACUACUUUAUAAAUAUUGUCUUCGCCUUUCACCCCUCCCCAAGCAUUAAAUCUUGGCUCUGCCACUACUUAUAAAUAUGCAGUUAAAAUUUGAAAAUGAUACUCAAACUCGUAUCUUAAUAACUUAGACACUAUCGUUAAAUACACGAUUAUGCAAGCCAAGUUUUUUUAUCUAUUUAUGGCUAUCCUAUUAAUUAACUGAAUCUGAGUCCAAACCCGAACCUGAAUAAGAAAGAAAUUUAUUUCACAUCUAAAAUCACAAUUUACUAAUAAUUUAAAUUUAUAUAAACGAUCAAACAUUAAAAUUGAAAUUUUUAAAAAUAAAUAAUUUUUAAAAUAAACCAAACAAAAACUUAAAUAACUAAAAACCAAAUAAAAAGGCAUCCAUAGUUAAAUAACAAAUGAUUUAGUUUUCGAACAACUCAUGGAAAAUCAUUCAUCUUCCUCAACGUCAAUAUCAAGUUGAACCUACAGCUGAACAUGAUCCUAGACAAAUGCAAAAGCUGCAAAUUAUGUAACUUUUAAGAUGAGAUGUAAUAGAUUUUUUUUAUAUAUAAAGUAAAUGAAAUAAAAAUAUAAUAAGUAGUAUAAUAUUUACCUUUUAUUUCAUUUUUCAACCAAUUUUAAGUGUACAUAAAUGCCUCCAAAUUGUCUAGAUGAAGCCUACUUCAAUAGCAACUCACCAUUCUCCCAGUAGUGUUAGAGGUUGGCUUUGUUGGUCCUUAUAAUAUGUACUAGAGGUGGGGUGAAUAGCACAAUUUGGCUCUUAACAAUAUUGGAAACUAAUUUUUAGAACUUAAGAAAAUAAAAACAGAGUAUAAGAUGCACAACAAUUUAGAGUGGUUUGGUCUAAGACCUACAUCAACUACCUUGAUUAUCCAACUAAGGAUUUUUCCACAAAUCCAGUAUGGACUGGUGAAAUUCACAAACUUUCACCAAGCUUUACAAUGGCUUUUACCAGGCUCAGCCAAAAACCUUUUACACUAGUUUUUCACAGGUUUAACUAAAACCUAAUGUGGUUUUCCAAGGCUGAACCACAACCUACAACAAUCAAGCUAUCCCAAGCUUGAACAACCCCUUAGAGUGACUCCCUCACUCUACGAAUACAAGAGAAGUAAUAAAAAAGUACUUAUGAUCACGUACUUGAUAUAGAUGGUACAAGAUAAAGUGUUGAACUUUAUUAUAAAGAUUGACGUUUAAGUGCAGUGAAGCUUUUUUGGUUUUUCUACUUUCUAUAGCUCAAAUCUCAUUUAAGGCUUCAAAAAACUUGUUUCUCAUUGUUGGAAGACCCUUUUAUACUUGGAGAUGCACCUCUGAUGGCAGUUUGACAGUUUAUAUCCAUUGGAAACAAUUGAGGAUGAGUUCUAGCCGUUAAUCUGUCUUGUAGUGCUUUGGUUCAAAUUGCAGACGGAGAGCUCUUAGUCGACUGACUUGGUUGACUAAGUUGGUUUUGUUUCUAGUUUGCAGAUUUUGGCAGAGAGCACUUAGUCGACUAACUUGGUUGACUAAAUUGGUUCUAUUCUUCGAACUCUUUAGCCUGCCAUUUCUCCAAUUUGAAAUUUGGUCAACCAAUGUUCUUCCUUGUUUCACCAAUGAACUUCCUCCUUGUUAUUUAGUUACAUCUUAUUGAUUUUAUCCCUCUUUUUCUUUCAAAAAAACUCUUUGAAGAGUCAAUAAGUUGAUUUCAUAUAUUACUUUCCUACACACUCAAGUAAAGGUAUUAGACACACAUAAAUGAGAAUGUUUUAUUAUCAUCAAAAACUAAUAGAGCCAAUAGGCUCUUAUGCAACUUUAAAGAUAGGAAUACCAAGAAAGUCUUUGACAAUCAUUUGCAAUGUGGAAUACUUUAUCCCAUUUAUCUUCCACCAAGUCAGAAUAUAUAUAUAAAAAAACCCAAUAAAGUCUUUGACAAUCAUUUGCAAUGUGGAAUACUUUAUCCCAUUUGUCUUCCACCAAUUUACAAUAUAUUAAAAAUAAAACCCAAUGCAUAGAAAAAUUUGCUCAUUUAGAUAAUAAUCCAAUUCUAAUUUCACAUGCACAUCAAUAUAAGAAGAACUACAAAACAAAACCAACUAGGAAAACUUAUUUUGUUGACUUAAUGCUUGAACGGAUGGUGUUAAUGCUGGAAUGUGAGAAAAAUGUGGUUUUGGUUAAGAGGAUCUAGAUUAGUAUUCAUGAAGUAAAUCAUAACAAGUUGUCUUAACUUAUUGAUAUGGAGUUAGUUCAAAAGCUCAACAACAUCGAAUCAACUCAAAAUCAUGAAUCUUUUUCAAACAUGAUUCCAAACAUAGUUUCAUAAGCUUAUAGUCAUAAACCUCUGAGUACCAACUAUUACUCAAUUAUUGGGUCUCAUCACGACAGGAGCUGUUCUUAUUCUUUUAAUGUAAUAAGAUCAUUUCUAUAGUAACACACUUAUAUAUAUCUUAAUUUGUUCGAUCCCAUAGUCUCCCUACUAACUCUUUGGUCAAUUGUGACUUUAACCUUAUAUAGAAUUUUCGUAACUUAGGUCUCUUACUACGAAAGACAUUACUUUUUGACUAUACACUGCCCACUUAACCUCAAACCCAUAUCGGUUGGAAGCCAAUAUUACAACACCACUUAUCACAUACCACCUCAUGAUGGUCUUUAGUAAUUCGUUAAUGUCUAAUUCAAAAAGAUGGUUUAAUCAUCCUGUUAGCUUUAAAAUGAUUAUAGUUUUGAUUAUGAGCUUUAAAAUGAUUAUAUUUUUGAUUAUGACAAAAUGAUCAAAUUUUCUUGAACAUUAUUUGAAUGAUCCUUGACAAAUUCUUGAAAUGAUUUAGCUUUUCUACAUUUGUUAUUACAUGAUUACAAGCUUGAUUGUUUUAGUUGUGUUAACUCUAGAAGCUAUUGAAUUAUCACACACUUCUUCUACAAGCUUAAAUGACUUAAUUGUAUGAGUGUUAAAUUUGCUUAAAAGAGUUCUACUUAUGAUCACUCUUACAUAUACCUUUGAGAUGUUGAAGUUGCAGGAUAGGUUCUCAAAUAGUGAAAUUUAUCCUAAAACAUUCAAAGAUCAUUAAUCUACACUACACUACGCUUACUCCAAGUCAAGAAGCUUAGUCAUCACUCAACAUUUGAUCACAAGGAAGAUAUGGCCAAACUAAAAUAUCAAGGAAUCUUGAAGAAACAAAGCUCCAAUCGAUCUUAGAGCUAAGCAAAUCGAUCUUAUGUAAGAACGGGUGAGAAUAGGUGAGAAAACUUGAAAAACACACAGCCAUAGUCAACCCUAUAAAGCUUAUAGUCGGCCAUGGAAUAAUGCCAUAGUCGAUCUUGAUGAAGAUAUAGUUGACCCUAGAAUAGUGCUAGUCGACCCUCCAAACUCUGAUGAGCAAAAUACAAGCUUUUUGGAAGAGAAUCGACUAGAGAACUUCUAUACUCGACUAUAGAUGAUAGUUAGACACAAAAUCCAAAAGGAAAACAACUAUUGUUGUGGAUUUUGCAGAUACAAGUACAUGUAUCGAACAAGUAAUAUAGACAGUAAGUCUAGAAUUGUAUCCUAUAGGGAUUUGUUCUUAAAUCUUCAUUAAGUACUUAAAUUAUGACAAACUAAUCUUAUUUAAGUAACUUGAUGUUUUAGAAAAUUAGUUAAAACUAAAUUAAAGCAAACACUAAAUUAAUUAAUAGAAACUAAAAAUUCACUUGAGAAAGGCAUUAGAUUAAAACCUAAGAUUAUGGGUUCAUUCAACACUUCAUCUGAUACCGGCUCCUUUUAUUAUUUAUAUUCAUGGGUGGUUUUACUAACCUAGAAUCCAAAACUAUGUAGAAGUCUCUGUCGAGAUGCUUUCAUAAAUACAUAACUAAAUUGGGUCACUAUAUGUCUAUAGUAAUCAUGUAAAGCCCGAUCUUAUAAAAUACGCAUCAUGACAUACAUGUAAUGGAUGACAUGUUUGCAUGCUAGGAAAGUCUCGAAAAAUUUACAAAAGUAGGUAUUGUACCUAGAGAUAAAACAAAGUUGAUUUAAGCCUCGAAUUAGAUCAAAUAGAAAUUUUAAGGUGAAAUUAAGAGCUUCACAGCCCAAGGAUGACUCAAAAUGGUAAUUCAGAAUUUGAGGAUCAAUUUGGAGUCAAACCAAAAUUUUCACUAUCUAGGGGCAAAAUGAUCAUUUGCCACCUAGGGACAAAAUGGAAAUUUUUUAAAAAGAUUUUUUUGGCCCCAUUUGACUUAUUGGAGUAUGAUUUGAGUAUUAGAGUAUGAUUUGAGGUUUAGAAGUGAAAAAUUUUAAUUUUCGGUAUAAUUUGGAGUAUAGGGGCGAAAUGGUAAUUUUGCCACCUCAAGGGCAAAUCGAUAAAUUUUCACCCCCGACACUUGUCCAGCACAUGGAUUUUAUCCAAUAUUAUCAUGGAUAAUUGAAGGAAAUUUAAGUGGUGGAGAGAGAUUGCUUAAUUGUUAAGUUUAAAAAAAUGGACCAAUGGGAUGGUGACAUGUGUCAAGCUUAUAUCCAUUUAUUUUUUUAGCUUUAAAAUCAGCAAAAAUCAGCUUAUUUUCUUCAUUAUGGCCGGCCAAAGCAUGAAGUGAAGAAGAACAAAGACAGAACAAAACCUAGGUGGGAAAAUUGAAGAAAAAGUGUGAGAUUUCAAGGGAUUAAGCUAAUAAAGGUCAAAUUUUGUGAUUUUAUCUUGUGAUUUACACUACCCAUGCUUUCUUUUUCAUUUUUCAUGCUUAGAACUCAAGUUUUCAUGAUGAACCCAUGCUGGCCAAAUUUGAGAGGAGAGGUUUUGAGCAUUGAUUUUGCUAGAUUUCAAGUUAAUUAAGUGUUUUUGGUUGUUUAGUAAUGGAAAGUAUGAAAAUCUAGCAAGAAAUCACUUUGUUCUUCACAAACCCACAAGAGGCUGAAUUUUCUAGGGAGGAUAUUGAGGCUGAAAUUGAUGAUAUUUCAUGAUAUUUUGGUGGUAUUUAAUGAUUGGUGAGGCUAGAAAUUUAAUGGGAAAUUUUAGCAUGAAAAUCUGAAUUUUUACUUAAUGUAUAAACAUGUGCGAUUUAUGGUUCGGACUGAUAAAUUGAAUUAUAUUCACAGUCAUUGAGGUAUUUUAAGUAUAAUUGGAGUGUAGAAAGUGAAAGAAAUCGAUUUGGAGUUAAAUUGGAGGUUUUAGCCAAUUACACCGAGAACAGAGCGAAUUAGGUCAAAGACCGUAUUUAAACGGCUAUUUGGACAUUUUUGCAUUCCAUAUCAUGCAUUAGUAGUCUAAAUUAGUUUAAUUUCAAUUUAGUAUCAAUGUGGUGAAUUUUUCGAUUUUGUACAGUGUCAAGGUGGUGAGUCUUUCGAUAAAGGCAAGAAAAUUGCAUCCGAGGACUAGUAGACAGAGUACUUCGAAAGUCUGCAUUCUAGACAUUGUGAGUAAACUUACUGUCAUUUUAAUUAUCUAGGGUGGUUUUUAGAUGAUUUCAUGAAUUCUAUGAAAAAAUGGAUUUAAAAAGGUAAAUUUUUAUGUUUUAUGAAUAAAGGUGUUCCAAUGAAAUUAAUUUAUAAAUUGUUUUGAAAUUAAUAAUGAUUUUGAAAAAUAGAGUACACGGAGACUGUUAAUUGUGGCAAUUUGAUUGUUUAAAUUGAUGGCUUAUGUUAUAUUGUUAUUGUGUUGGCAUGACUGGCUGGGCUGUGUUUUAUGAAUUGUAUGAAUUGUUUUAUUUUACCCUUGCAGGCUAGGUAGUAUUUCAUUAGCCCUGUGAUGCCAUCAAAAUUUUAUUAUAUGGUGGAUUAUAAAUUAAUUAAUCACUGCAAUAGGGGGUUUUUGUGGACCAACCUUUUAAAGGGGCACAGUAAACCCCAUUAUAUUCUUACCUCGAAUGGAGAGGCACGUAGGGUAGCUCCUAGGGUAAAGCUUAGGGUUCACUUCAAGCCAAACCACCACGUGAGGGGGAACUCAGCCAACGCCAAGGAACGACUAUGUUUCAAAAUAAAAAUAUGAUUUAUGCGAAAUGUGAAUUUUUAACAGCCUUGGCGGUCUCGAUAGGAUGCCUUGGCCAAGGUGUCCCUAAGAAUGGAUUUAUGGCACAAGCCUAGUUUUUAUGAGAUUCAUAAGCCUCUUUACGUAUUUUGAAUGAAAUGUGUUCUAAUAUUGUGACCCAAUUUACGAUGAUUUACUUUAUUGUCUCCGUGUACUCAACUCUAGAUGUUUAUGAUGAUGUCUGUUUACUCAUUGGGAUUUUAUAAUCUCACCACCCUCAUUUCCAUCCAUUUCAGGUUUGGUAUAAACUGUAGAUAGCUGAUCUCAUCGAGGACUACCGUUAGAUCUGUAUUUUCCAAACUAUAGGUUCACAGUCCUCUUUACUUUUGUUUAUUCGGGGGCCCUCUUGUUAUUGUAAAUUAAAUUAAAUACUCUGACUUACUGUAUUACAAUAUGUAUGAAUUUAUUUAGCUUUUAUGCUACAAAUAUUAUUUACGUAUAACUCUAUAAAUAUUGUUUUAUAAGAAAAUAGAAUAUUUUACUUAAUAUUUUUUU